rnacentral:rRNA from 1 species
AAUGCCAAUUAAUUUAACUUGGGAGUCAGAACAUGGGUGAUAAGGUCCGUGUUCGAAAGGGAAACAGCCCAGACCACCAGCUAAGGUCCCAAAAUAUAUGUUAAGUGGAAAAGGAUGUGGCGUUGCCCAGACAACUAGGAUGUUGGCUUAGAAGCAGCCAUCAUUUAAAGAGUGCGUACUAGCUCACUAGUCGAGUGACACUGCGCCGAAAAUGUACCGGGGCUAAACAUAUUACCGAAGCUGUGGAUUGUCCUUUGGACAAUGGUAGGAGAGCGUUCUAAGGGCGUUGAAGCAUGAUCGUAAGGACAUGUGGAGCGCUUAGAAGUGAGAAUGCCGGUGUGAGUAGCGAAAGACGGGUGAGAAUCCCGUCCACCGAUUGACUAAGGUUUCCAGAGGAAGGCUCGUCCGCUCUGGGUUAGUCGGGUCCUAAGCUGAGGCCGACAGGCGUAGGCGAUGGAUAACAGGUUGAUAUUCCUGUACCACCUAUAAUCGUUUUAAUCGAUGGGGGGACGCAGUAGGAUAGGCGAAGCGUGCGAUUGGAUUGCACGUCUAAGCAGUAAGGCUGAGUAUUAGGCAAAUCCGGUACUCGUUAAGGCUGAGCUGUGAUGGGGAGAAGACAUUGUGUCUUCGAGUCGUUGAUUUCACACUGCCGAGAAAAGCCUCUAGAUAGAAAAUAGGUGCCCGUACCGCAAACCGACACAG